rnacentral:rRNA from 1 species
GUAGGUGGCAAGCGUUGUCCGGAAUUAUUGGGCGUAAAGCGCGCGCAGGCGGUUCUUUAAGUCUGAUGUGAAAGCCCACGGCUCAACCGUGGAGGGUCAUUGGAAACUGGAGAACUUGAGUACAGAAGAGGAAAGCGGAAUUCCACGUGUAGCGGUGAAAUGCGUAGAGAUGUGGAGGAACACCAGUGGCGAAGGCGGCUUUCUGGUCUGUAACUGACGCUGAGGCGCGAAAGCGUGGGGAGCAAACAGGAUUAGAUACCCUGGUAGUCCACGCCGUAAACGAUGAGUGCUAAGUGUUAGGGGGUUUCCGCCCCCCUUAGUGCUGCAGCUAACGCAUUAAGCACUCGCCCUGGGAUACGGCCGCAAGGCUG